ensembl:lncRNA
GGGGGUACCGGUACAGAGUCAAUGUGGGGGCUAUAUACAGGGGGUACCGGUACAGAGUCAAUGUGGAGACUAUAUACAGGGGGUACCGGUACAGAGUCAAUGUGGAGACUAUAUACAGGGUAUUACGGUACAGAGUCAAUGUGGAGGCUAUAUACAGGGGGUACCAUUACAGAGUCAAUGUGGAGGCUAUAUACAGGGGGUACCAUUACAGAGUCAAUGUGGAGGCUAUAUACAGGGGGUACCAGUACAGAGUCAAUGUGGAGGCUAUAUACAGGGGGUACCAGUACAGAGUCAAUGUGGAGGCUAUAUACAGGGUAUUACGGUACAGAGUCAAUGUGGAGACUAUAUACAGGGUAUUACGGUACAGAGUCAAUGUGGAGGCUAUAUACAGGGG